rnacentral:tRNA from 1 species
GCCUGGGUGGCUCAGUUGGUUGAGCAUCUGACUUUGUUUCAGGUCAUGAUCUCAUGUUCAUGGGUUCGAGCCCCACAUCGGGCU